UCCUGGCUCAGGACGAACGCUGGCGGCGUGCCUAACACAUGCAAGUCGUACGCGGUGGCUUGCCACCGAGUGGCGAACGGGUGCGUAACACGUGAGGAACCCACCCCGACGUGGGGGAUAACACCGGGAAACCGGUGCUAAUACCGCAUGUGCUCCCCUGACCGCAUGGUCGAGGGAGCAAAGCCUUCGGGCGCGACGGGACGGCCUCGCGGCCUAUCAGCUUGUUGGUGGGGUAACGGCCCACCAAGGCGACGACGGGUAGCUGGUCUGAGAGGACGAUCAGCCACACUGGGACUGAGACACGGCCCAGACUCCUACGGGAGGCAGCAGUGGGGAAUAUUGCGCAAUGGGCGAAAGCCUGACGCAGCAACGCCGCGUGGAGGACGAAGGCCUUCGGGUUGUAAACUCCUUUCAGCAGGGACGAAACUGACGGUACCUGCAGAAGAAGCCCCGGCUAACUACGUGCCAGCAGCCGCGGUAAGACGUAGGGGGCGAGCGUUGUCCGGAUUUACUGGGCGUAAAGAGCUCGUAGGCGGCUUGGCAAGUCGGAUGUGAAAUCACCAGGCUCAACCUGGUGUCGCCAUCCGAUACUGCCAUGGCUUGAGUCCGGUAGAGGAUCGUGGAAUUCCUGGUGUAGCGGUGAAAUGCGCAGAUAUCAGGAGGAACACCAAUGGCGAAGGCAGCGAUCUGGGCCGGUACUGACGCUGAGGAGCGAAAGCGUGGGGAGCGAACAGGAUUAGAUACCCUGGUAGUCCACGCCCUAAACGUUGGGCACUAGGUGUGGGGCCUCAUUCGACGGGCUCCGUGCCGACGCUAACGCAUUAAGUGCCCCGCCUGGGGAGUACGGCCGCAAGGCUAAAACUCAAAGGAAUUGAC
rnacentral:rRNA from 1 species